AUUCAGUAGGUCCGGCAGACGGGAGCUCUGGAUUCGCCUGCCCGAGGAUGCAGAAGCGGAAGCGGAAGCGGGAGCAAACGCAGGCGCGGAAGCAGAAGCGAGCUAAUGUUGGUGAGACUCUGGCAUCAUGGAGGGAGCCCGCACCGCUGCUGCCUCUCCCUGCUCUAGCAGCCGUGCGGUGGCUUUAUUCCUGCAGCUCCCAGCCUGAAGAUAAAUGCGACCUGUCUGAGACACCCAUCCCUCAGUCUCCUGGAAUCACUGGAAUCGGGCCCAUCCAAGCAGCAGGAAUCACAUCCUCCGUUUCCUAGACAGUAGUGGAAAUCAGACCACGGAGCAUCACACCCCAGGGGAAGGAAGAAACAAAAAGGAGGAGCAAAGGAAGAGAUCAACUACUUGCAAAUAAGUUCACCAGAGAAAAGUCUAAGAUGAGCAAGUUGGAGCAAAAAAUUAAUUAAAAAAAAAAAAAAACUUCUUUAAAAAGAUUGAAACACAACUAGUAGGAAACACCAAAAUCUGAGUUUGUAGCAUGGUAAUGAGAAUAUUUAGGGGAAAAAUAGUAGGAAAAAACUCCACAAAACCAAGUCAACCUACUGACGGAAAGGUCCACUCAGUGAACACUGGACAAUUUCCCCCAGAGCUCCUUGCUGUGUCCCCUGUAACUUUCCAGAGGGUUAGGAAUUUCCACAAGGGCUUUGGAAGAGAGAGAGUGAGUCCCAUUGUACAGAAGAGAAGAAUAUAGGAAGUGCCACGAGGCCCUUAACCUCAAACCAGUUGACACUCAUGGCACAGUCCUUACUCAGAGGCCAUCUGGCUGAAUCAGAGAAUUUUAUGAUUAAGUGUAAGAGUCAAAGAUUAGAUGCUAAAGCAAGCACGGAACAUUGUCAAAAUGCCAACACAUCUAGCACAAUGGGAAAGCCUGGAACUUAUGGCACAUGAUUAUGUUUAUUUCUGUAGUGGAAGAAGACACAAAAAUCAUCAAAAUUUGUUUGCUCAGGCGAAGGGCCAAUUAACUUCUGAUGAGUGUAAAGUAAAUAUGCAGGUUGACUCUCAGUGAUCCUAGCAAUUUACCUCACCUGACUCUCUAGCAACACCCCAGCUGCCCUUAGCAGACUCAUAGCGAUGAUAUUUAUUUCUGCCAUUGUGCUUGUCCUUCUAGACAUGCUGUCUUUGGGCAUUUCCUGGCUGACCUGGAGAACUGCCCUCUUAACUCAGCUCCAUUCCACUCCUCCAUUGGCUCUGGCCUCCCAGUCUCUGCCUUUGAGCUUUGUAUGAUUUCUUAUUGUGCCCAGCACAAUGCCCAACUUGUAACAGGCCCCAAUAAAUGUUAUUCUUGCCCCUAUCACAACUCUGGCAAGUUUCACUGUUUGGUCCUCACUUAUCCACCUAUUCCCUGGCCUCUGCUGCCCUCUGGUGACAGCAUGAGGUCCUGCCCCCUUAUGACUGCCGUCAUAGUGACUUUUGGAAUCAGAUGUCUAUGACUGUAAAAUUCCAGCACUAUUUCACCUUGUCUGUUCUCUUGAUUUGCUACUUUGUCUCAUCUAUAGAACUAUGUAUAUGAACUCUCCAGAUCUAAAUUUCUAUAAAGUUAUGAUACCUGCAAAAAUUUGACGGGAGCAUUCUUUACGGUUAGAUGAUACAGCACAAUGAAUAAAUUUCAUCUAUUAAAGAUGCUACAGGAUGAAUGCUACAGGAUGAAUGUGAAAUUUGGAAAAUACCAGAACUCUCAUCUUUCCUCCAUCCAGACACCUUAUAAGCUUGUAGCAGGGAAAAAGAAGAAAUGACAAGAAAAAGAAGAACAAAUUUUUUUUGACAAAAGCAUAAAGGGGCGUCUUGAGAAACAGAAUACUGGCUGAAAUUGUCCACUUAAAGGACAAGAGGCUGGAAGACUUAUCCACCAGCUUCCUCUCCUCUUGGUUGAGAGUUGUCUUCAAGAGUGUCGACUCCCUUCUCAGAUGUGGGUUGUCCUGGCAUGGAAGCCAGACAGAUUCAUUGGCUUUGACGAAGAUCCUGGAGCAAAAGCAGAAAGAUGGCUGUGUGCACUUCCAGGGGGUUGCAGUCAGUACCAGUUGAGUGUGAGCUUGCCGGGAACUAUCCACCAGAACUGUGGCUGAAAUCAAAGCUAAGACAGGGUUCACGCAGAACCUCCCAACACAACUGAAGAUAAGACCAGAGGUGGACAGAAGGGAUAUGACAAGACUUACCAGAUGUGUCUCCUACAGACCCCAAAGGGCUAUAUUCUCAAUGUAAGAGUGAACCAGAAAUAAGCCCACCUUCCCAAGGCACCACAAGUAAAAUUGCCUGCAUGGAGUGGAGAAAGGCUCUUUUGAGAAUAGAGAUCCACAAACAUAGCCCUCAUGGAGGUCUGAAGCUUGAAUUCAUGCAAACUGGAUGGUCUGAAACACCUUAAACCAAAAAUUUAGUGUAAACUAGCCAUGACGAGUGGAGCCACAGCGCUCUCAGAAGAAGCACUUAAAAACUUCUGGGGAGAAACACGACUUCAAUCCAGGCCUCAAAAAAUUCCCACAGAUAAAAUUCCAAGGACUAUAAGCUCACAAUACAAACAAAAGAAAACACACAAGGAAAGAAGGCACCAUGAGUAAAGCUGAUAGAAACAAAAUGCAACAGAAAUCCACCCACAAAGACGUCACACAUUGGAAUUAUGAGAUGUGCUAGAUAUCUUCCAUUUGCUCUCCAGAUUCACUGUCUUUCCCCAUCCCUCUCGGUACCCUGAGGGGCUGAUCUGUGUGAACUGCAUCAGUGUGUUCUUCUGUUUUUUGGCUGCCAGUUGUUCUGCAAAUGCAGGCACUGGCAAGAGACUGGCAGGAUGGAAGAGGUUGAGGUCCAGGUGUUUAUUCCCGCAGCUCUUUGAUUUCCUUCAGCAAUGUUUUGCAGUUUUCAGUGUACCGGCCUUUUCACCCACUUGGUUACAUUUAUUCCUAAAUAUUUUAUCCUUUCAGAUGGCAUUGUAAAUGGAAUUGUUUUCUUAACUUCCUUUUUGAAUUUUUUAUUACUGAUGCAUAGAAACACAACUGAUUUUUGUAUGUGAGUCUUGUAUCCUGCAACUUUGCUGAAUUCAUUAGCUCCAGCGAAAUUUUUUUAUAGAUUCUUUGAGUUUUCUGUAUACAAGAUUAUGUCAUCUGUGAACAGAGAUAGUUUUGCUUCUCCUUAUCCAAUUUGGAUUCCUUAAUUUUUUUUCUUGACUAACUGCUCUGGCCAGAACUUCCAGUAGAAUGUUGGACAGCAUCCUUGUCUUGUUCUUGAUCUUAGGAGGAAAGCUUUUGGUCUUUCACCGUUAGGUAUGAUGUUAGCUGUGAGUUUUUUAUAAAUCUUCUUUAUCAUGUUGAGAAAAUUCUCUUCUAUUCCUGGUUUGCCGAGUGUUUUCAUCAUGAAAGGGUGUUGAAUUUCAUCAAAUGUUUUUUCCUGCAUUAAUGGAGAUAAUCAUGUGGGGUUUUUUCCUGUGUUCUAAGAACGUAGUAUAUUACAUUGAUUUCACAUGUUGAACCACUCCUGCAUCCCUAGGAUAAACCCCAUUUGAUCGUGGUGUAUAAUCCUUUAAUAUGCUCUAAGAUUCCAUUUUCUAGCAUUUUGUUGAGGAUUUUUGCAUCUACGUUCAGUGAUGUUGGUUUGUAGUUUUCUUUCUUGUGUCUUUGUUUGGCUUUGGUAUCAGGGUAAUGCUGGCCUCAAAAUGGGUUAGGAAGUGUUCUCUCCUUUUCUAUUUUUGGAAGAGUUUGAGAAAGAUUGGUGUUAAUUCAUUUCUAAAUGUUUGGUAGAAUUCACCCGUGAAGCCAUCUGGCCUGAGCUUCUCUUUGUUGGGAGGGUUUUGGUUACUGAUUCAGUUUCUUGACUUAUACAUCUGUUCAAGUUUUCUAUUUCUUCUUGAUUCAGUUAGGUAAUUUGUGCAUGUCUAGAAAUUUGUCUAUCUCAUCUAGGUUAUCUAAUUGGUUGAUGUGCAAUUGUUCAUAGUAUUUUCUUAUAGUUCUUUUUAUUUUGGAAAGAACAGUUAACAUGAGAUCUGCCCUCUUGACAAGUUUUUAAAUGUACAAUGUGUUAUUGUUGACUAUAGGUACAGUGUAGUACAGCAGAUUAGAGUUUGUUCAUCUUGCUUGACUGAAACUUUAUGCCCAUUGGUUAGUAACUCCUUACUUUCUCUUCUCCCUCAGCACCUGACAACUACCAUUCCACUUUUUGGAUCUAUGGAUUUGACUGUUUUAGAUACCUCAUAUAAGUGGAGUCAUGCAGUAUUUGUCUUUCUGUGACUGGCUUAUUUCAUUUAGCAUAAUGUCCUCAGGAUUCAUCCAUGUUGUUGCAUAUUGCAGAAUAUCCUUCUUUUGUAAGGCUGAACAAUAUUCCAUUGUAUGUAUAUACCACAUAUUCUUUAUCCUUUCAUCUGUCAAUGGACAUUUAGGUUGUUUUCACAUCUUGGCUAUUGUGAAUAUUACUGCAAUGAACAUAGGAGUGCUAUCUCUUUGAGAUCCUGAUUUCAAUUCUUUUGGAAAAAUAUCCAGAAGUAGGAUUGCUGCAUUAUAUGGUAGUUCUACUCUUAAUUUUUUGAGAAACCUCCAUACUGUUUUCCAUAGUGACUGCACCAUUUUGCUUUUCCACCAAUGUGUGCAAGGGUAACACUUUCCCCAUAUCUUCACCAACAUUCGUUGUCUUUUGUUUUUUUGAUAAUAGCCAUCCUGACAGGUGUGAGAUGACAUCUCAUUGUGGUUUUGAUUUUCAUUUCCAUGAUGAUUAGUAAUGUUGAGCAUUUUUUCAUAUACCUGUUGGCCAUUUGUAUAUCUUUUUUGGAUAAAUGUCUAUUCAGGUCUUGAGCCCAUUUUUUUCCUCAAGUUAUUAGGGUUUUUUUUACUGUUGAUUUGUAGGAGUUCCUUAUAUAUUUUGGAGAUUAACC
rnacentral:lncRNA from 1 species